CCUACGGGAGGCAGCAGUCGAGAAUCAUUCACAAUGGGGGAAACCCUGAUGGAGCGACGCCGCGUGGGGGAAUGAAGGUCUUCGGAUUGUAAACCCCUGUCAUGUGGGAGCAAAUUAAAAAGAUAGUACCACAAGAGGAAGAGACGGCCAACUCUGUGCCAGCAGCCGCGGUAAUACAGAGGUCUCAAGCGUUGUUCGGAAUAACUGGGCGUAAAGCGUGCGUAGGCUGUUUCGUAAGUCGUGUGUGAAAGGCGCGGGCUCAACCCGCGGACGGCACAUGAUACUGCGAGACUAGAGUAAUGGAGGGGGAACCGGAAUUCUCGGUGUAGCCGUGAAAUGCGUAGAUAUCGAGAGGAACACUCGUGGCGAAGGCGGGUUCCUGGACAUUAACUGACGCUGAGGCACGAAGGCCAGGGGAGCGAAAAGGAUUAGAUACCCUAGUAGUC
rnacentral:rRNA from 1 species